GGGGGUCAUCCCGACUUACCAACCCGAUGCAAACUGCGAAUACCGGAGAAUGUUAUCACGGGAGACACACGGCGGGUGCUAACGUCCGUCGUGAAGAGGGAAACAACCCAGACCGCCAGCUAAGGUCCCAAAGUCAUGGUUAAGUGGGAAACGAUGUGGGAAGGCCCAGACAGCCAGGAUGUUGGCUUAGAAGCAGCCAUCAUUUAAAGAAAGCGUAAUAGCUCACUGGUCGAGUCGGCCUGCGCGGAAGAUGUAACGGGGCUAAACCAUGCACCGAAGCUGCGGCAGCGACGCUGAUGCGUUGUUGGGUAGGGGAGCGUUCUGUAAGCCUGCGAAGGUGUACUGUGAGG
rnacentral:rRNA from 1 species